UUGGUAUUUACAUAGUGUUUGUGCCUAGGAGAGGGAAUGUGGUCUUUCCCAUCAUUCUGGGGUUGGUUUCAUCACUUUUCCAGCCAGCGAAGCCAACCAAUUCCUUUCUACUAACUACCAUAAUUAAUGGCUAGCAAGAAAGGAAAAGAUAAGGGCUUGUGGAAGCCUUAAACAUGUUGAAAGAAACUUUCUAUGCUUCAGCUUAUAAAUAAAUGUGGGGGAUAACUCUAUUGCAUGAAUCAUCUUCUUCAAGUCACAAAAUAUGACAGGGUCUGCACCAGCACAGCAGAAGAUGUCAUACUAUGAUCAUGUUCAGAUGCGCCACGAGGAGAAGGGAAGCCUCUAUGCUUGUUUGUAUACACUCUGUUGCUGCUUUUGCUGCUACGAGAGAUGUCAGUGCUGCUUGGAACGCACCUGUUGUUGCUGUCCCUAGAUUGCCCAAUUUUCAACAGACAUUUGUCAAGUUUAUGUUUCAUCAUUUCUGUGUUAAUGAUUCUGUAAGCCAAUGAGGAAUACUCUUCAUGCACCAUGUACUUCAAGAAAUUUUAGUUUUUGUGAUAUUGUUCCAAGAACAAAUGAAUUCGUUAUGACUAUUAAAUAAA